GGGUUGUGAGGUUAAGCGACCAAGCGUACACGGUGGAUGCCCUGGCAGUCAGAGGCGAUGAAGGGCGUGCUAAUCUGCGAUAAGCGCCGGUAAGGUGAUAUGAACCGUUAUAACCGGCGAUACCCGAAUGGGGAAACCCAGUGUGAUUCGUCACACUAUCAUUAACUGAAUCCAUAGGUUAAUGAGGCGAACCGGGGGAACUGAAACAUCUAAGUACCCCGAGGAAAAGAAAUCAACCGAGAUUCCCCCAGUAGCGGCGAGCGAACGGGGAGGAGCCCAGAGCCUGAAUCAGCAUGUGUGUUAGUGGAAGCGUCUGGAAAGGCGCGCGAUACAGGGUGACAGCCCCGUACACAAAAGCGCAUGUGCUGUGAGCUCGAUGAGUAGGGCGGGACACGUGGUAUCCUGUCUGAAUAUGGGGGGACCAUCCUCCAAGGCUAAAUACUCCUGACUGACCGAUAGUGAACCAGUACCGUGAGGGAAAGGCGAAAAGAACCCCGGCGAGGGGAGUGAAAAAGAACCUGAAACCGUGUACGUACAAGCAGUGGGAGCACAGGUUUACCUGUGUGACUGCGUACCUUUUGUAUAAUGGGUCAGCGACUUAUAUUCUGUAGCAAGGUUAACCGAAUAGGGGAGCCGGAGGGAAACCGAGUCUUAACCGGGCGUUAAGUUGCAGGGUAUAGACCCGAAACCCGGUGAUCUAGCCAUGGGCAGGUUGAAGGUUGGGUAACACUAACUGGAGGACCGAACCGACUAAUGUUGAAAAAUUAGCGGAUGACCUGUGGCUGGGGGUGAAAGGCCAAUCAAACCGGGAGAUAGCUGGUUCUCCCCGAAAGCUAUUUAGGUAGCGCCUCGUGAAUUCAUCUCCGGGGGUAGAGCACUGUUUCGGCCAGGGGGCCAUCCCGGCUUACCAACCCGAUGCAAACUGCGAAUACCGGAGAAUGUUAUCACGGGAGACACACGGCGGGUGCUAACGUCCGUCGUGAAGAGGGAAACAACCCAGACCGCCAGCUAAGGUCCCAAAGUCAUGGUUAAGUGGGAAACGAUGUGGGAAGGCUCAGACAGCCAGGAUGUUGGCUUAGAAGCAGCCAUCAUUUAAAGAAAGCGUAAUAGCUCACUGGUCGAGUCGGCCUGCGCGGAAGAUGUAACGGGGCUAAACCAUGCACCGAAGCUGCGGCAGCGACGCUGAUGCGUUGUUGGGUAGGGGAGCGUUCUGUAAGCCUGUGAAGGUGUGUCGUGAGGCAUGCUGGAGGUAUCAGAAGUGCGAAUGCUGACAUAAGUAACGAUAAAGCGGGUGAAAAGCCCGCUCGCCGGAAGACCAAGGGUUCCUGUCCAACGUUAAUCGGGGCAGGGUGAGUCGACCCCUAAGGCGAGGCCGAAAGGCGUAGUCGAUGGGAAACGGGUUAAUAUUCCCGUACUUGGUGUUACUGCGAAGGGGGGACGGAGAAGGCUAUGUUGGCCGGGCGACGGUUGUCCCGGUUUAAGCGUGUAGGCUGGUUUUCCAGGCAAAUCCGGAAAAUCAAGGCUGAGGCGUGACGACGAGGCACUACGGUGCUGAAGCAACAAAUGCCCUGCUUCCAGGAAAAGCCUCUAAGCAUCAGGUAACAUCAAAUCGUACCCCAAACCGACACAGGUGGUCAGGUAGAGAAUACCAAGGCGCUUGAGAGAACUCGGGUGAAGGAACUAGGCAAAAUGGUGCCGUAACUUCGGGAGAAGGCACGCUGACACGUAGGUGAAGUGAUUUACUCAUGGAGCUGAAGUCAGUCGAAGAUACCAGCUGGCUGCAACUGUUUAUUAAAAACACAGCACUGUGCAAACACGAAAGUGGACGUAUACGGUGUGACGCCUGCCCGGUGCCGGAAGGUUAAUUGAUGGGGUCAGCGCAAGCGAAGCUCCUGAUCGAAGCCCCGGUAAACGGCGGCCGUAACUAUAACGGUCCUAAGGUAGCGAAAUUCCUUGUCGGGUAAGUUCCGACCUGCACGAAUGGCGUAAUGAUGGCCAGGCUGUCUCCACCCGAGACUCAGUGAAAUUGAACUCGCUGUGAAGAUGCAGUGUACCCGCGGCAAGACGGAAAGACCCCGUGAACCUUUACUAUAGCUUGACACUGAACAUUGAGCCUUGAUGUGUAGGAUAGGUGGGAGGCUUUGAAGCGUGGACGCCAGUCUGCGUGGAGCCGGCCUUGAAAUACCACCCUUUAAUGUUUGAUGUUCUAACGUGGACCCGUAAUCCGGGUUGCGGACAGUGUCUGGUGGGUAGUUUGACUGGGGCGGUCUCCUCCUAAAGAGUAACGGAGGAGCACGAAGGUUGGCUAAUCCUGGUCGGACAUCAGGAGGUUAGUGCAAUGGCAUAAGCCAGCUUGACUGCGAGCGUGACGGCGCGAGCAGGUGCGAAAGCAGGUCAUAGUGAUCCGGUGGUUCUGAAUGGAAGGGCCAUCGCUCAACGGAUAAAAGGUACUCCGGGGAUAACAGGCUGAUACCGCCCAAGAGUUCAUAUCGACGGCGGUGUUUGGCACCUCGAUGUCGGCUCAUCACAUCCUGGGGCUGAAGUAGGUCCCAAGGGUAUGGCUGUUCGCCAUUUAAAGUGGUACGCGAGCUGGGUUUAGAACGUCGUGAGACAGUUCGGUCCCUAUCUGCCGUGGGCGCUGGAGAACUGAGGGGGGCUGCUCCUAGUACGAGAGGACCGGAGUGGACGCAUCACUGGUGUUCGGGUUGUCAUGCCAAUGGCACUGCCCGGUAGCUAAAUGCGGAAGAGAUAAGUGCUGAAAGCAUCUAAGCACGAAACUUGCCCCGAGAUGAGUUCUCCCUGAGACUUUAAGUCUCCUGAAGGAACGUUAAAGACGAUGACGUUGAUAGGCCGGGUGUGUAAGCGCAGCGAUGCGUUGAGCUAACCGGUACUAAUGAACCGUGAGGCUUAACCUUACAACGCCGAAG
rnacentral:rRNA from 1 species